CUCUGACUUUUAACUUAUGUUUGGAUUUAACGUUUAUUUUUCAAGAAGAGGAUAAGACCUUAGACCUAGAGAUCUUCAAGAAAGACAGUUUCGAAGGUGCAAAGAACACAGAUCAAAGAAGGCUGAAAAUUUAUGCUCCACGAUGUUCAAGGGAUGCGUUCGUCCGCUUUACCCUAUUGAACUCUUUGUUAUUAUUCCUGUAAAUCACGCCAGUGUCAUGCACCAUACUGGUUAUUACUGUCGUGGUCACUACUAUGGAAUUGGAGCCUCCACCUAAUACAGAAGCCAGAAUAACAUCGUUAACUACAAUUCUGGCUAUGAUGAAGGUCACGUGACUGGAGGUUUCUUCUGCGGGGAGAUUAGCUGUGGCAUCGAAAAUGUGAAGACUGGUUCUUAUGGUUGAGGAAGGCUGACUGUAAAUUCCGCUUCGUCAAUUACAUCGCUUACAUUCUAUUUUUUCAUGAUUAUGGUUGUGUUUAUUCUUCAGUUAUUAUUUCCUUCUAUCGUUUAGUUUAUCUAUGAAUUUUUAAUUGCCUUAAAACGCUAACUUACCUUCUAGCUACUCACUUGUAUUUUGAGUAAAUAUGUAUGUAUGAUGAAAUUGACACCAGGUUCCCUAGCGGUGACGUGUAGAUACUAUUAAUGUAGCAGUAGAGUAUGUAAAUUUAUGAUCAUAUGAGGUUGUACUCUCGUGACCUACUCAGUGAGUAAAUACCCUGCCAGAAGUUUCAAUAAGAGAGAGAAAGUUAGUGAGUUAUUGCUGUUUAUCAUUCGUUA